rnacentral:pre_miRNA from 1 species
CUCCUACUCCCUCCGUUCCACAAUACAUGCCUUCUAUUUGUCAAAAUAUAGAUGUAUCUAGACAUGUUUUAGUAUAUAGGUACAUCCAUUUUUGGACAAAUGAAAGUCAAGUAUUUUGGAACGGAGGGAGUAAAAU